ACACAUCUAUAGGGGCAGGAUCAGAGGAGGCCAUGGGGAUGAUCACAGGGCUGGAGCACUUCUACUGUGAAGGUAGGCUGAAAAAGCUGAGGUGGUUCAGCCUGGAAAAAAAGAAGGCUCUGGGGAGAACUCACUGCUGCCUUCCACUAUUUAAAUGGAGGUCUACAGGAAAAAUGAGAAGACAUUCUUCAUCAGGGAGCAUAGUGACAGAACAAGGGGUAACAGUUUUACAGUGAAUAAGGGCAGGAUUAGAAAAAGGGUUGACCAUACAUAUUUCACAGCAUUUAACUUGGCAAGGUAUCAAGCUUAUUUCAGCAUCUGACUUUUUUAAAUAACUUGAUUUAACUAUUCUGGAGAACCUAGUUUAAGAAGCCUCUCUUCUUGUAUCAAUAUGUAUACAUAUUCUCAUAUUUGUUGUGUAGUGCUCAGCAGUUUCAAUCAUUAUAAAUAUCUGAAAAAUGGGAAUAUUUUGAUGAUAGUGCAAGACAAUAUUAAGGGAUCAUUAAUUCAUGUAGAUAAGUUUCUAAGUGACAUAAGAUCAAAAGGUCUGUAAUCAAAGCAGUGAUUUGUAUUGAACACUGCAUACUCUUUGUACUGAAAAUGACAUAUCUGUUGCCUAUUUUAGACUAGCUCAUACCUUGAAAGAAGCUACAAUCCCUUACUGAACUAUCAGGGGUGUGAGGGAAACAAGUCAAAGGAGGUAUUAUUGGAUUAUUCGCUCUUCUAGGACAGAACCUGUUUGUAUAAUCAGAGAUAUGCCUUAAGUGGUCUUUAAAGAAAGUCAGAUUUUUGUUUAAAAAAGGGGAAGGAGGAGGCUUCAUUAACUAGACUGACAGGCUCCAUAGAUUUCUCAAGUGUUUAAAUUAAGGAUUGUGAGUUCUUGAAACUUGACAAGGAAAGCAGGAUUGUCACCGCUGGCUGCCUGAACCAGAGUGUUAUAGUCAUUGUCAAAAGACGGGCUGCAGAACCAUAGAAGACAACAUUCUUGCCUUCAGUGUAUCAUCAGAGGAAUCUUGAACAAAAGAGAACAAAAUACUUUUAUGAUAUCUGAACUUCAGAAGACUCAAAGGUCAUGUCCAGCUCACUUAUGCUGCCCAACUCCUUUACCUGCAAGAUACACCUUCUCCUGUUGAGCUAGCUGAUCAGAAAAUUGUGUGGAAAAGAAUUAGAGCAUUUAUUUUUGUCAAGCUGUUUGGUGAAAAUAAAAAGCAUAGCACAG
ensembl:lncRNA